rnacentral:misc_RNA from 1 species
GUGAGAGUGCCAAACCUACAUUGAUAGCCAAGCUAGUGUGUAAAGUGUGCCUCACCAAGUUCACUGAUUAGCUCCGAUACCAUCACCCUCUGUAUACCUGUCUCCAGGUGGAAAUUGUCCCACAUCUGUCACCUGCUGGAUGUAUGGAGAUUCUAUCUGAACACAUGUACCAAUGUUUGUUUGUUCUGCAUGUAUCUACACAUUCUUGGGUUUAAAUGAUUUUUUCAGUUCUAUUCUGCGAGAUAUCCGUCCCCUGGUUCCGUCCAAACAUAUUCAUUGAUUUGUACUUUAUUACGCAUUUAUUGGUGUGAAAAAAUGAAGCAUAAUACAAAUAAACAUUCAGUAUUUAU